rnacentral:rRNA from 1 species
CACGUAGGGUGCGAGCGUUGUCCGGAAUUAUUGGGCGUAAAGAGCUCGUAGGCGGUGUGUCGCGUCGGCCGUGAAAACCUGUGGCUUAACCAUGGGCUUGCGGUCGAUACGGGCAUCACUGGAGUUCGGCAGGGGAGACUGGAAUUCCUGGUGUAGCGGUGGAAUGCGCAGAUAUCAGGAGGAACACCGGUGGCGAAGGCGGGUCUCUGGGCCGACAUUGACGCUGAGGAGCGAAAGCGUGGGGAGCGAACAGG